UUGCUCAGUUCUUAUUUUUUAAAUUUUCAAAUGACUAUAACUUGAAAACAGUAAGUGAUAGACACACAUGGUUUUUAAGCAGUUAAGCUGCUUUAUGCGAGCACCCUAGAUUUGUGUUCUACCCAAUAAAUGCUGAAAUACGUGCCAUUGUUAUUAUCUAGCUGGCUAAUAUGUUUUUAUAACUAAUUAAACACUUUUUUCAUACUUUUAAUUCUGGAUUACAAAAAAUAUGAGCAGAAAAACCUUAAAUGAUCGUCGAACCACCCAAAAGUUUUGAAGUUGCACAUAGGAAGAAGUGCUCAAUAGAAAUCCUUAUGAAGUUUAUUAUCCCCUGUGCUUUUGGCUAAGUUGUCAAAGAACAAUUGUAUGAAUUAUUUCAUCGCCGAAAAUCUCUAAUUACAAGUUGUUUACAUUUGAAAAAUGGCAAAAAGCGCAGGAAUAUUGUAUAACGGCUGGGACUAAUAUGACACGGAGUUGAAGUCUCAGUUGGCGGUAAUUUUAACUUUGUUGACAAAACGUAAAUCAAGGACGUUUUAAAUUUGGUGGAUUCUGAUAAUACAAAGCUUUAUUCCAAUCUUUGGGAAUGGCUAAUACUAGAAGAGGCAAGGCAUACAUGUACAUGUACAAUACAUGAUUCUCUGUAGCAACUGGAUUGUCUAUUCACCACAAUAAUUCCAUAAUAGCAAUGAAACUCUAAAACUACUAUGAUGUUAUGAAGAUAUUUACAUGUAUAUCAACAUACCGGUAUAUGAUCAAUUUUGAAGAUUGUUUAUGCCAGGUCUCAUCAUGUUGACUAGUCCGACAAGUUUUGGUUCAGCUUUCUGACAGGAAUUAUUAUAAACUUGCCAGCAGUUACAACACAUGAAAAUAGUUGUUAUUAAGUGUGCCUAUCGGUCUAGCAAUUUUUAGAGACUGUUUAACGAUACUUUCAGAACUAUGAUCAUGAUAUGUCAGAAUCUGUGUAACUGUUACUACAAAAGGAGAUAUAUUAUUGUGCACUAAGAAGUAUGCCAAGUUAUCAGAAACUUUUUGCAUGAAGUUAUACAAAGAUAGUUGGAAUUCAUGAUAUUGAUGCAUUGUACACAUGAAAUAUUUUAGUUUAAUUUAUAUUCUAAUUAACAGUCCAAGAGUAAGGUUAAAUUGUACCAAGGAAAAUUACUUAUUACCAUAAUUACACAGCAGUAUUUUGAUUGUGGAUUCUUUUCAAUUUUAUUAUUUACUGAAUGCAUAUUUGUCACUUGUUUAAUUUGAAUUGAAUGCGAACCGAGUUCAAACAAUCUUCUUUUUUUUAUUUCAAAUUGAAUUCAAAGUCUAAUGUGAAUCGAAUUCACUAAUCACGUUCACACACUCUUCUUUUUUUAAUUCAAAUCUAAUUCAAAUUGACUAAUUUGCAUUAUCGAAUUCUCAUUAGAAUUAUGUUUUUUGUUAAUACGAAUUAAUUUAAUUUGAUUAAAUUAAUUCGAUUAAACUCUGGUGUGGACACUUUUUAAAUUGUAAUUUGAAUUAAACUAUAAUAAAUUAAUUGAUAAAUUGAAUUAAAAGUUAACAUCAUUUGGACAGUAAAGUGAUAUUGACUCGUAUUGCAAUUCGAAGUAGAAUUUACUUUUGGACAUUAAACAUGUUAAAUGUUUCGAAUGCAUAUUAAACUAUUUCAAAUCAGUUAAUGCGAAUCAUAAUCGAAUUAUGUGUGAACGCAGCAUUGAUAUAUAUAUCUAAGAAAUGAAGAAUAUGAAAAUAUUAAAAAAAGAUGGACAAAAUAUUUGUAUUAAAUUUGUUGCAAUUUUU